CUAGUAAAAAACCACCUAGCAGUGCCAGAAAGCCGAUGAAAAAAAUGAAAGAAAAGCACAUCCGUUUUGUGACGAACUCGGUUGACUCCCCGAAGCCCCUUGCCAUUUGGAAACUCAACACGCGAUGCAUUGUGUACUCGACUAAGUGGGAAAUCAUUCCGCUAUUUUCCAAGAGUAUUUCGUACUGGCGUCACUCCCACCUUGGCGGAGCUUAUUUUACCCGCCUGUUAUAUGGAUUUAAUAGUCAUCGAGCAAUAUAACAUUGUGCUGGACCGAUGCUUUGAUCUAUCGAUUGUGAGUCCGAAUAGCUUAUACUAAUUGAUCAUAAUGUUAGAUAAACCGGUCUUUUGAAAUUUGAGAAAAAAAUGCGACCUAUUAAUUUUUGAGUAUUUCGGGAUACAAGAAAAUGAUAAUCAACAAAAAAGCUAUACUCGUAAAUGGCGCGCCUUUAUUUUAUAGCUGAAGUGCAGUUAUUGACUAUUCAAAUAAUUUUCACAUCGAUUCAUCCAUAGAACCACAGGGUUAUCCUGGACUUAAUUUCUGAAAUUCUGACAGCUCAUAAGUUUCCUAGAGUCGAAGUAAUAUGCUGCAGAAAUUGACGUACCAUCAUUCCACAGCCAAGCCAACUGCUUCGGGGUCCAAGACACUUUUUUUACUUCGAGAAACUGGCCCAUCUGGAACACAGUCCGUUUCCUAAUAUCAUCGACACCUUCCUCGCUUUGCGCCCACUCAAGAACUAAUCGGCGACCAUACAGAUGAGUGCUCUGACACAAUGCAUUGAAAGCUUUCUGUAAAUUAAGGUCAAUAUCAUUCAGCGUGUCGUUUAAUUGUGUCAUGUUCUCAAACA